UACGAAGGGUGCAAGCGUUACUCGGAAUUACUGGGCGUAAAAGCGUGCGUAGGUGGUUUUGUUAAGUCUGAUGUGAAAGCCCUGGGCUCAACCUGGGAAUUGCAUUGGAUACUGGCAGGCUAGAGUGCGGUAGAGGAUGGCGGAAUUCCCGGUGUAGCAGUGAAAAUGCGUAGAGAUCAUGAGGAAGACCAGUGGCGAAGGCGGGUCUCUGGACAGUUCCUGACACUGAGGCACGAAGGCCAGGGGAGCAAACGGG
rnacentral:rRNA from 1 species